AUCAACCAAAUAUGCCUCCUCUCAAAGUCAAAUCCGCCCCCCCGCCCCCUUUGGCCUUUCCCCAUCUCCUUCGGCUUCUCAAAAUCAAACCCUAAACCUAAAAUCUCCUUCUCCUUCUCAAGUCCCCUUGCUUCUACUUCUCAGUUCUUACCGUGUCGCCAGUUCGCCAAUUAUUCCUUGACGAUUAGUUCAACUGUUCUCCACUCUUUCUUUGAAUUACCUUAGGUCUUUGCAGAAGCCAUGGCAAAGCAUCACCCGGAUCUUAUUAUGUGCCGGAAGCAACCAGGGAUUGCUAUUGGACGGCUAUGUGAGAAAUGUGAUGGGUAGAUGUGUUAUCUGUGGAGGUGUCGGCAUUUCAGACGCGUAUUACUGUAAGGAGUGCACUCAACAGGAGAAGGAUAGAGAUGGGUGUCCAAAAAUCGUCAAUCUAGGAAGUGCUAAAACAGAUCUCUUCUAUGAACGGAAGAAAUACGGCUUCAAGAAAAGAUGAUUUAGGCUGAUUUCUUUAAGACGGUAGAAGGGACUACUUUCUUAGAUUAUGUUCUACCUUAUAGAUUAAGUGAUUGGUAAAUAAUGUAAAAUUUGAGAUGAGACAUUCGAAGAUGGUAGAAAGGACUACUCAUUAUUUGCUAGUUUAAAGGAUUUGGGUUAAUUUUUCGCAAUUAAAAUAUGAAAAGCAUUUGGUAUAAAAUUAUAAUAAUAAACGUCGUUAGGUUGAGUCAAAUUUCAGUGAUUCAGAACGAGCUGAUCAUUGGCUUUCAAGUUUGCAUAAACUCAAUCUAACGUUCUGAGUUUUUGUUAGCUAUAGAUCAAAACUUUCAACUUUCAAUUAAUUUCAUGAAAAAUUACUUAAUUCCAACUUUAAAUGAUUUAGUUCUAAAAAUCUUGACUUAUGAUUGAUAUUUAAAAAUUUAAAAUGUAGGGAUUGUGUAAUUUUAAAAUGGUGGACUCCUUGGUAACAGGUAGUGGGAGUUAAACAUAAUACGGGGUAGUAUCCUAUUGGUCUACCGCAACUCUCUUGAGAGACUGUUUGUUUUUAUAAGAGACAACUCUUAGGUUCAGUCUAA